AUGGCGAGCCGCCUGGGCGCCAUGACGGGGGGCACACUCGGCGUGCUGCUCGCGCCCACGACCUUCCUCGGCGUCCCCGGCUGGCGCCUGGCAUUCCACAUACUCGCGCUCCUCAGCGUCGCGCUCGCCGUCUCGACGUGGUUCCUCGCCUCGGACCCCCGUCCGCCCAGCACGUCCGAGAAGAGCACGGCAACGGUGGCCAGAGAGCUCGCCAUGGAGGCCAGGGACGUGGUGCGCUUGCCGACGUUCCAGAUCCUGGUGGCGCAGGGGGUGGCCGGGUCGGUGCCGUGGACGGCGCUCACCUUCGCCGCCAUGUGGCUGGAGCUCGUGGGGUUCACGCACUGGGAGACCAGCGUCAUCACCAACCUCAACCAGCUGACCGGGGCGCUCGGCUCGCUGUUCGCCGGGCUCAUCGGGGACACCAUGGCCCGGCGGUUCCCGAACGCCGGCAGGGUCGCGCUGGCGCAGGUGAGCACGGCGUCGACCGUCCCGGUCGCCGCCGUCCUGCUGCUCGCGCUGCCCAUCGACCCCUCGGCCGGGGCCGCGUACGCCGCCGCCUUCGCCGUCCUCGGCUUCGUCAUGCCCUGGUGCCCCCCGGCCACCAACAACCCGAUACUCGCGGAGAUCGUGCCGGAGAAGGCGAGGACGACGGUGUACGCGCUGGACAGGUUCUUCGAGACGAUCUUCUCGUCGUUCGCGCCGGCCGUCGUGGGCAUCCUGGCGGAGCGGGUCUUCGGGUACCAGCCGGCGUCCGGCGGCACCGGGAAGGCUGAACGGGAGAACGCCGCCGCGCUGGCGAAGGCUGUUUUCGCGGAGAUCGCCGUGCCCAUGGCCAUCUGCUGCAGCAUCUACUCCUUGCUCUACUGCACGUACCCAUCGGACAGACAGCGCGCGCAGAAGGCGGCUCUGGUCGCGCCAGAGGAAGAGGACUGUGAACAUGCUGCUUCUAGUACUCCUACUGGGGUGGAUGGCUUAAACCAGGCAUUGCUGGCCAGAAGUGACUAG
rnacentral:rRNA from 1 species